GAAACCACACUAAUUUUACAGACAGUCUCCUGCAGAUCUUCCAGGAUCUUGAGAGCAAAAUAAUCACAUUUCUAAAGAAUGAACUGGAAAAGUUUAAGAAAAUAUUACAAAAAGAGGACAUGCAGUACUUUGUGAAGGACUUUAAUGAGAACAGAUGCAGUAUGAAAGAAGCAGCUCUUGAUCUCACGCUCUACUUCCUGAGAGAGAUGAAGCAAGAUGAAGCUGCUGAUACUCUAGAAGAUGAGCUGUUCUUCAUUCAUCAGCUAAAUUGUAGCCUAAAGAAGAAGUAUCAAUGUGUGUUUGAAGGAAUUGCAAAGCAAGGUGACUCUACACUUCUGAAGAACACU